GCAUAUCAAUAAGCGGAGGAAAAGAAACCAACAGGGAUUGCCCUAGUAACGGCGAGUGAAGCGGCAACAGCUCAAAUUUGAAAUCUGGCUCUCGGGCCCGAGUUGUAAUUUGUAGAGGAUGACUUUGAUGCGGUGCCUUCCGAGUUCCCUGGAACGGGACGCCAUAGAGGGUGAGAGCCCCGUCUGGUUGGAUGCCAAAUCUCUGUAAGUCUCCUUCGACGAGUCGAGUAGUUUGGGAAUGCUGCUCUAAAUGGGAGGUAUAUGUCUUCUAAAGCUAAAUACCGGCCAGAGACCGAUAGCGCACAAGUAGAGUGAUCGAAAGAUGAAAAGCACUUUGAAAAGAGAGUUAAAAAGUACGUGAAAUUGUUGAAAGGGAAGCGUUUAUGACCAGACUUGGGCUUGGUUAAUCAUCUGGGGUUCUCCCCAGUGCACUUUUCCAGUUCAGGCCAGCAUCAGUUUUCGCCGGGGGAUAAAGACUUCGGGAAUGUGGCUCCUCUCGGGGAGUGUUAUAGCCCGUUGUGUAAUACCCUGGCGGGGACUGAGGUUCGCGCUUCUGCAAGGAUGCUGGCGUAAUGGUCAUCAACGACCCGUCUUGAAACACGGACCAAGGAGUCGUCUUCGUAUGCGAGUGUUCGGGUGUCAAACCCCUACGCGUAAUGAAAGUGAACGCAGGUGAGAGCUUCGGCGCAUCAUCGACCGAUCCUGAUGUUCUCGGAUGGAUUUGAGUAAGAGCAUACGGGGCCGGACCCGAAAGAAGGUGAACUAUGCCUGUGUAGGGUGAAGCCAGAGGAAACUCUGGUGGAGGCUCGCAGCGGUUCUGACGUGCAAAUCGAUCGUCAAACAUGGGCAUGGGGGCGAAAGACUAAUCGAACCUUCUAGUAGCUGGUUUCCGCCGAG
rnacentral:rRNA from 1 species